UACAGAGACCUCAAGCGUUAUCCGGAAUCAUUGGGCGUAAAGCGUACCGAUAGGUGGUUUACAAAGUCAGAGGUGAAAUCUCAAGGCUCAACCUUGAGUCUGUCCUUUGAUACUUGUAAACUAGAGGGGCAAAGAGGAAGCUGGAACGAACGGUGUAGUAGUGAAAUGCGUUGAUAUCGUUCGGAACACCAAUAGCGUAGGCAGGCUUCUGGGUGCCACCUGACACUGCUAGGACGAAAGCGUGGGGGAGCAAACAGG
rnacentral:rRNA from 1 species